rnacentral:sRNA from 1 species
CUUUAACAAUCCGGAACAAGCUGAAAAUUUGAAACGACACAGCGUCGCAUUCUUCCGUAAUAAAGAAUGAUGACAAUGUGUUCGAGUCUCUCAAAAGCUCACUGACAAGCAGCGUAAAACGCCUGUGG